UUUUCAUGGGGCUCUGGUAUUCUCUCAACAGAGAGCUGAGAUUCCUGGAUUUAGGACUUUUUUCAGAAGAGUUAACCCUUCUAAUUACCCAGAAGAAAUGUUUCUUAGAAGUUUCUGGAAUUGGGCUUUUGAGUGCCCAGAUUUUUCUGAAAUAUUCGGGCAAGAGGAAUUGUCACUGAGUGCUUCCCUGGACAUGCUUCCCUGUCAUUAUUUUGAUAUUUCCAUGUCUGUGCUGAGUUACAGAGUUUACACUGCAGUGUAUGCUGUAGCUUGGGCACUGCAAAACAUGUUUCUAACCAGAUCUGAAAGGAGUUCAUGUGGCGUUAAAGGCAGCCCAGUGCCUACAUCUCAGAAGAAAUCUGAACUUUUGACCUCCAAUACAAUAGAACCAGACUGGGCAAAGAGACAUCCUCAGCUUGUGGAUCCAGCUCUCCCUGGAGACAACCUGGUAUGCAGAACACAGAGGGAGAGGCAGUAACAACCCAGGAUAUUGAACUUGAGAAAUGUGUGCAGCGACAGCUAAAAGAUGAAAUUGGGACACAAACACAGAAAAAUCCUCUAAUUCUCCAGCCUCCACCAUCAACACAAGACCACAGCAUCCCACUGACAGAGGAAUUUGAGCCUGUGGCGCAUUGAAGGUGAUGAUAACAACAACAAAAUCCAAUUGCAGAUCAACUCCUGGCCAGAUUGACUCAAC
rnacentral:lncRNA from 1 species